GCCCGGGUGGUCUAGUGGUAUGAUUCGCGCUUAGGGUUCAACCCUGAGCAUCUUUAAUGCGCGAGGUCCCCGGUUCAAUCCCGGGCUCGGGCC
rnacentral:tRNA from 1 species